GAUGAAGAACGUAGCGAAAUGCGAUAAGUAGUGUGAAUUGCAGAAGUACCGUGAAUCAUCGAAUCUUUGAACGCAAAUUGCACUCUCUGGUAUUCCGGGGAGUAUGCCUGUUUGAGGGUCGCUUAACAAACCAUCGAUUUCGUUGCUUUUUUUUUUUAAAAAAGUGAUGUUUAUCGGAUUUGAGCCGUCUUUUUUUUUAUAUUUAAGUUGCUUAAAAUUGAUUUUUUUGGUACGAUCGAAGCGUAUUUUUAUGAUCAAUUUUUGGUUAAAGAAACGCACACGUACCGUUAUUUAUAUGAUGUAAUACGUUUGACUAUUGGAUUUAGUUCAUUCGUAUACGAUAUUUUUCAAUAUUUGACCUCAAAUCAGGUAAGAACACCCGCUGAACUUAAGCAUAUCAAUAAGCGGAGGA
rnacentral:misc_RNA from 1 species